ACCACAUAUGCAGAAUUCCCACCAUCAUUUCUCUCCUGAUCGGACCCCAAACCCUCAGCAGGCACAGCAGAGACUGCCUGCAGCUGCCCGUACGACACAUUCUCCAAAUUGGGCACCGGCCCCCUACUACUACCACUACUCUCCCCAAUCAAAUUCGCCCUCUCUAAGGUCACCACAGCGAAAACCGACUCAUGGGGCCGAUUCACAGCAAGCUUAGUGACGGAAGGGAAGUCACAAAUGCGGACCCCACUGUCAGCGAAGACCUCAGUUUCAAGAUGGUUGGGAUCAGGAAGAGCAGCAGA
rnacentral:misc_RNA from 1 species